rnacentral:rRNA from 1 species
GACGAACGCUGGCGGCGUGCUUAACACAUGCAAGUCGAGCGGUAAGGCCCUUUCGGGGGUACACGAGCGGCGAACGGGUGAGUAACACGUGGGUGACCUGCCCUCAGCUCUGGGAUAAGCCUGGGAAACUGGGUCUAAUACCGGAUAUGACUCCAUGACGCAUGUUGUGGGGUGGAAAGCCUUGUGCGGCUGAGGAUGGGCCCGCGGCCUAUCAGCUUGUUGGUGGGGUGANGGCCUACCAAGGCGACGACGGGUAGCCGGCCUGAGGGGGCGACCGGCCACACUGGGACUGAGACACGGCCCAGACUCCUACGGGAGGCAGCAGUGGGGAAUCUUGCGCAAUGGGCGAAAGCCUGACGCAGCGACGCCGCGUGAGGGAUGACGGCCU